GUUACCCUACGGGGCGCAGCAGUGAGGAAUAUUGGUCAAUGGCCGAGAGGCUGAACCAGCCAAGUCGCGUGAGGGAAGACGGCCCUACGGGUUGUAAACCUCUUUUGUCGGGGAACAAAGGCGGAGACGCGUCUCCGGAUGAGUGUACCCGAAGAAAAAGCAUCGGCUAACUCCGUGCCAGCAGCCGCGGUAAUGCGGAGGAUGCGAGCGUUAUCCGGAUUUAUUGGGUUUAAAGGGUGCGCAGGCGGGAGAUCAAGUCAGCGGUAAAAUGUCGGGGCUCAACCCCCGCCGGCCGUUGAAACUGG
rnacentral:rRNA from 1 species